rnacentral:rRNA from 1 species
GAAAUGCGAUACGUAAUGUGAAUUGCAGAAUUCAGUGAAUCAUCGAAUCUUUGAACGCACCUUGCGCCCCUUGGCAUUCCGAGGGGCACACCCGUUUGAGUGUCGUGAAAUUCUCAAAAAACCUUUUCCUGCUUUUGCUGGAAAGGAUUUUUGGACUUGGAGGUUCAAUGCCUGCUUUUCACCUUUGAAAAGCAAGCUCCUCUCAAAUAAAUUAGCGGGGUCUGCUUUGCCGAUCCUUGACGUGAUAAGAUGUUUCUACGUUUUGGAUUUGGCACUGUCCCUUUGGACACCUGCUCCUAACUGUCCCACGGACAAUGAUGGUGCUCUGGUCUUUGCCGUCUACACUGGCGGGGGAGGCUGGACCCACAAAAGAAAACCUUGACCUCAAAUCGGGUGAGACUACCCGCUGAACUUAA